AUUGAACGCUGGCGGCAGGCCUAACACAUGCAAGUCGAACGAGUGGCGGACGGGUGAGUAAUGUCUGGGAAACUGCCUGAUGGAGGGGGAUAACUACUGGAAACGGUAGCUAAUACCGCAUACCAUCGGAUGUGCCCAGAUGGGAUUAGCUAGUAGGUGGGGUAACGGCUCACCUAGGCGACGAUCCCUAGCUGGUCUGCGAGCAUGACCAGCCACACUGGAACUGAGACACGGUCCAGGCGCCUACGGGGGGCAGCAGUUGGGAAUAUUGCACAAUGGGCGCAAGCCGGAUGCAGCCAUGACGCGUGUAUGAAGAAGGCCUUCGGGUUGUAAAGUACUUUCAGCGGGGAGGCGUUACCCGCAGAAGAAGCACCGGCUAACUCCGUGCCAGCAGCCGCGGUAAUUC
rnacentral:rRNA from 1 species